rnacentral:rRNA from 1 species
UCAAGUUGUUAAGCGCAUACGGUGGAUGCCUUGGCGGCAGAAGGCGAUGAAGGACGUAGUAGCCUGCGAUAAGCCUCGGGGAGCUGGCAAACAAGCUUUGAUCCGGGGAUUUCCGAAUGGGGAAACCCAGCCAUCGGAAGAUGGCUAUCGUGCGCUGAAUUCAUAGGCGUACGAGGCGAACCCGGGGAACUGAAACAUCUAAGUACCCGGAGGAAAAGAAAUCAAUUGAGAUUCCCUUAGUAGCGGCGAGCGAACGGGGAACAGCCCUUAAGCUGUCCAGCUUCUAGGAAAACGUCCUGGAAAGUUCGGCCAUAGUGGGUGAUAGCCCCGUAUCCGAAAGGGGCUGGACAGUGAAAUCGAGUAGGGCGGGAUACGUGUUUUCCUGUCUGAACAUGGGGGGCCCAUCCUCCAAGGCUAAAUACUCUCUGCCGACCGAUAGUGCACCAGUACCGUGAGGGAAAGGCGAAAAGAACCCCGUAGAGGGGAGUGAAAUAGAUCCUGAAACCGUAUGCGUACAAGCAGUGGGAGCCCCUUCGGGGGUGACUGCGUACCUUUUGUAUAAUGGGUCAGCGACUUACUUUCAGUGGCAAGGUUAACCGUAUAGGGGAGCCGUAGGGAAACCGAGUCUUAAAUGGGCGAUGCAGUCGCUGGGAGUAGACCCGAAACCGGGCGAUCUAUCCAUGGCCAGGGUGAAGGUGGGGUAGUUCCCACUGGAGGCCCGAACCCACUAACGUUGAAAAGUUAGGGGAUGAGCUGUGGAUAGGAGUGAAAGGCUAAUCAAGCCCGGAGAUAGCUGGUUCUCCCCGAAAGCUAUUUAGGUAGCGCCUCGUGUCUCACUGCCGGGGGUAGAGCACUGUCAUGGCUAGGGGCCCAUCCCGGGUUACCAAACCAUAGCAAACUCCGAAUACCGGCAAGUGCAAUCACGGGAGACAGACGGCGGGCGCUAACGUUCGUCGUCAAGAGGGAAACAACCCAGACCGCCAGCUAAGGUCCCAAAAUCACGGCUCAGUGGUAAACGAUGUGGGAAGGCAGAGACAUCCAGGAGGUUGGCUUAGAAGCAGCCACCCUUUAAAGAAAGCGUAAUAGCUCACUGGUCGAGUCGGCCCGCGCGGAAGAUAUAACGGGGCUCAAGCCGUGUACCGAAGCUGCGGACGCGCUCUGCGCGUGGUAGGGGAGCGUUCCGUAAGCCGUUGAAGGUGUGCCGGGAGGCAUGCUGGAGGUAUCGGAAGUGCGAAUGCUGACAUGAGUAACGAUAAAGGGGGUGAGAGGCCCCCUCGCCGAAAGCCCAAGGUUUCCUGCGCAACGUUAAUCGGCGCAGGGUUAGUCGGUCCCUAAGGCGAGGCCGAAAGGCGUAGUCGAUGGGAAACAGGUCAACAUUCCUGUACCUCUUGCUACUGCGAAGGGGGGACGGAGAAGGCUAGGUCAUCCGGGCGAGUGGUCGUCCCGGUCCAAGCAAGUAGGGAGUGUCUUUAGGCAAAUCCGGAGACACAAUCCCGAGAUGCGAUGUCGAGCUCCCAAGGGAGCGAAGUGACUGAUGCCAUGCUUCCAGGAAAAUCCUCUAAGCAUCAGGUAGUAAGAGACCGUACCCAUAACCAACACAGGUGGGCAGGGUGAGAAUCCUAAGGCGCUUGAGAGAACUCGGGUGAAGGAACUAGGCAAAAUAGCACCGUAACUUCGGGAGAAGGUGCGCCCGGUCUGGUGAUGGGACUUGCUCCCUGAGCUGGGCUGGGCCGAAGUGACCAGGCGGCUGCGACUGUUUACUAAAAACACAGCACUCUGCUAACUCGAAAGAGGACGUAUAGGGUGUGACGCCUGCCCGGUGCCGGAAGGUUAAGUGAUGGGGUUAGCCCUCGGGCGAAGCUCUUGAUCGAAGCCCCGGUAAACGGCGGCCGUAACUAUAACGGUCCUAAGGUAGCGAAAUUCCUUGUCGGGUAAGUUCCGACCUGCACGAAUGGCGUAACGAUGGCCGCGCUGUCUCCACCCGAGACUCAGUGAAAUUGAAAUCGCUGUGAAGAUGCAGUGUUCCCGCGGCAAGACGGAAAGACCCCGUGAACCUUUACUACAGCUUCACACUGAACUUUGAGCAUAUUUGUGUAGGAUAGGCGGGAGGCUAUGAAAUGGGGGCGCUAGUCCUCAUGGAGCCAACCUUGAAAUACCGCCCUGAUAUGUUCGGAGUUCUAACCCAGGCCCGUUACCCGGGUCGGGGACAGUGUGUGGUGGGUAGUUUGACUGGGGCGGUCUCCUCCCAAAGAGUAACGGAGGAGUGCGAAGGUACCCUCAGCGCGGUCGGAAAUCGCGCAGUGCGUGCAAAGGCAUAAGGGUGCUUAACUGCGAGACAGACACGUCGAGCAGGUGCGAAAGCAGGUCUUAGUGAUCCGGUGGCUCUGAAUGGAAGGGCCAUCGCUCAACGGAUAAAAGGUACUCCGGGGAUAACAGGCUGAUUCCUCCCAAGAGUCCAUAUCGACGGAGGAGUUUGGCACCUCGAUGUCGGCUCAUCACAUCCUGGGGCUGUAGCAGGUCCCAAGGGUAUGGCUGUUCGCCAUUUAAAGUGGUACGCGAGCUGGGUUUAGAACGUCGUGAGACAGUUCGGUCCCUAUCUGCCGUGGGCGUUGGAAAUUUGAGGGAAGCUGCUCCUAGUACGAGAGGACCGGAGUGGACAUACCUCUGGUGUUCCGGUUGUCACGCCAGUGGCACUGCCGGGUAGCUACGUAUGGUCGGGAUAACCGCUGAAAGCAUCUAAGCGGGAAGCCCCUCCCAAGAUAAGAUUUCCCUGGACCCUCGAGGUCCCUGAAGGUCCGUCGAAGACUACGACGUUGAUAGGCCGGGUGUGGAAGUGCAGUAAUGCAUGGAGCUAACCGGUACUAAUUGACCGUGAGGCUUGACCAU